GGUUAUAUAGCUCAAUGGUAAAGCACUUGCCUAGCAUGCAUGAGGCCCUGGGGUUCAGUCCCCAUCACCA
rnacentral:tRNA from 1 species